rnacentral:rRNA from 1 species
UUAUCCGGAUUUAUUGGGUUUAAAGGGAGCGUAGGCGGACGACUUAAGUCAGUUGUGAAAGUUUGCGGCUCAACCGUAAAAUUGCAGUUGAUACUGGGUGUCUUGAGUACAGUAGAGGCAGGCGGAAUUCGUGGUGUAGCGGUGAAAUGCUUAGAUAUCACGAAGAACUCCGAUUGCGAAGGCAGCUUGCUGGACUGUAACUGACGCUGAUGCUCGAAAGUGUGGGUAUCAAACAGGAUUAGAUACCCUGGUAGUCCACUCAGUAAACGAUGAAUACUCGCUGUUUGCGAUAUACAGUAGGCGGCCAAGCGAAAGCGUUAAGUAUUCCA